AUACUUACCUGACGCGAGAGGCACCUUGAUCAACUAGGAGGUCCUCUCAGGAUGAGGCCCUUUCAUUGCACUUCGACUGGGUUGACUUCUGCGAUUACCCCUAAUGUGGGUAACUCGAGCGUAUAAUUUCUGGUAGUGGGGACCUGCGUUCGCGCUCGUCCCCU
rnacentral:snRNA from 1 species